GGUGGCUCAGUGGUAGAGCACUUGCAUUGUAGGCAUGAUGCCCUGGGUUCUAUUCCUCAGCACCA
rnacentral:tRNA from 1 species